rnacentral:rRNA from 1 species
CCUACGGGGGGCAGCAGUCGAGAAUAAUUCACAAUGGGGGCAACCCUGAUGGUGCAACGCCGCGUGGAGGAUGAAGGUCUUCGGAUUGUAAACUCCUGUCAUCCGGGAGAAAGACCUGGGAGUUAACAGCUCACAGGGUUGAUAGUACCGGAAGAGGAAGGGACGGCUAACUUCGUGCCAGCAGCCGCGGUAAUACGAAGGUCCCGAGCGUUAUUCGGAAUCACUGGGCGUAAAGGGAGCGUAGGCGGUGCGGUAAGUCAGAUGUGAAAUCCCGGGGCUCAACCCCGGAACUGCAUCCGAUACUGCCGUACUUGAGCAAUGGAGAGGUAACUGGAAUUCUCGGUGUAGCAGUGAAAUGCGUAGAUAUCGAGAGGAACACUCGUGGCGAAAGCGAGUUACUGGACAUUUGCUGACGCUGAGGCUCGAAGGCUAGGGGAGCAAAAGGGAUUAGAUACCCCAGUAGUC